GACGAACGCUGGCGGCGUGCUUAACACAUGCAAGUCGAACGGAAAGGCCCUGCUUUUGUGGGGUGCUCGAGUGGCGAACGGGUGAGUAACACGUGAGUAACCUGCCCUUGACUUUGGGAUAACUUCAGGACACUGGGGCUAAUACCGGAUAGGAGCUCCUGCUGCCUGGUGUGGGUUGGAAAGUUUCGGCGGUUGGGGAUGGUCUCGCGGCUUAUCAGCUUGUCGGUGGGGUAGUGGCUUACCUAGGCUUUGACGGGUAGCCGGCCUGAGAGGGUGACCGGCCACAUUGGGACUGAGAGACGGCCCAGACUCCUACGGGAGGCAGCAGUGGGGAAUAUUGCACAAUGGGCGGAAGCCUGAUGCAGCAACGCCGCGUGCGGGAUGACGGCCUUCGGGUUGUAAACCGAUUUCGCCGGUGACGAAGCGUGAGUGACGGUAAUGGGUAAAGAAGCACCGGCUAACUACGUG
rnacentral:rRNA from 1 species